rnacentral:rRNA from 1 species
GAAUUCGCCCUUAGAGUUUGAUCCUGGCUCAGGACGAACGCUGGCGGCACGCUUAACACAUGCAAGUCGAACGAGAGAAGAGAAGCUUGCUUUUCUGAUCUAGUGGCGGACGGGUGAGUAACACGUGAGCAAUCUGCCUUUCAGAGGGGGAUACCGAUUGGAAACGAUCGUUAAUACCGCAUAACAUAAUUGAACCGCAUGAUUUGAUUAUCAAAGAUUUAUCGCUGAAAGAUGAGCUCGCGUCUGAUUAGCUAGUUGGUAAGGUAACGGCUUACCAAGGCGACGAUCAGUAGCCGGACUGAGAGGUUGAUCGGCCACAUUGGGACUGAGACACGGCCCAGACUCCUACGGGAGGCAGCAGUGGGGAAUAUUGCACAAUGGAGGAAACUCUGAUGCAGCGAUGCCGCGUGAGGGAAGAAGGUUUUAGGAUUGUAAACCUCUGUCUUUGGGGACGAAAAAUGACGGUACCCAAGGAGGAAGCUCCGGCUAACUACGUGCCAGCAGCCGCGGUAAUACGUAGGGAGCGAGCGUUGUCCGGAAUUACUGGGUGUAAAGGGAGCGUAGGCGGGAUCGCAAGUCAGAUGUGAAAACUAUGGGCUUAACCCAUAAACUGCAUUUGAAACUGUGGUUCUUGAGUGAAGUAGAGGUAAGCGGAAUUCCUAGUGUAGCGGUGAAAUGCGUAGAUAUUAGGAGGAACAUCAGUGGCGAAGGCGGCUUACUGGGCUUUAACUGACGCUGAGGCUCGAAAGCGUGGGGAGCAAACAGGAUUAGAUACCCUGGUAGUCCACGCCGUAAACGAUGAUUACUAGGUGUGGGGGGACUGACCCCUUCCGUGCCGCAGCAAACGCAAUAAGUAAUCCACCUGGGGAGUACGACCGCAAGGUUGAAACUCAAAGGAAUUGACGGGGGCCCGCACAAGCAGUGGAGUAUGUGGAUUAAUUCGAAGCAACGCGAAGAACCUUACCAGGUCUUGACAUCGUAUGCAUAGCUCAGAGAUGAGUGAAAUCUCUUCGGAGACAUAUAGACAGGUGGUGCAUGGUUGUCGUCAGCUCGUGUCGUGAGAUGUUGGGUUAAGUCCCGCAACGAGCGCAACCCUUACUGUUAGUUGCUACGCAAGAGCACUCUAGCAGGACUGCCGUUGACAAAACGGAGGAAGGUGGGGAUGACGUCAAAUCAUCAUGCCCCUUAUGACCUGGGCCUCACACGUACUACAAUGGCUGUCAACAGAGGGAUGCAAAGCCGCGAGGUGGAGCGAACCCCUAAAAGCAGUCUUAGUUCGGAUUGUAGGCUGCAACCCGCCUACAUGAAGUCGGAAUUGCUAGUAAUCGCAGAUCAGCAUGCUGCGGUGAAUACGUUCCCGGGCCUUGCACACACCGCCCGUCA